CACAUAUGCAUUCAUUCAUACUAGGGACACAACUAAACAUUUUAAAAUCAAUAAAGAAAAACGAUGGAAUGAGACAUUUAAAGUCUAAAGUGCUGCUAUAGCUUUAAAUGAGAGCUUGAGGGAUUUUACACCCUUUUAACGCCCCCUAGUGUCUGUAACAAGUUGUAGCACAGCCUAAACACAAGUCUGUUCAGUUGUUAGCUGUUAGUUGGUGGUUCAGCAGUUCAGUCAUGCUUUUCUGGGCUCAGCGGUGUCUAAGAAAUAUAAGAGAGAAGCAGAAAUAAAGAGUCUCUUUACUGUUUGCUGUCUGUCUACAGAAACAGUGAAGUUCAGUGCAGGCGAGCCAGUCCGUUAGGAUCCACCACUCUGAACACCAUGGAGUCCGGAUCCUCCCAGCGGAUAUACGGCUCAUACCGCCGGUCCAACAGCAGGUGAUACACAUAAUCCCACAGCAGCUUACAGUCUGGAGAAACAGCGCAUUUAACUCAGGUUCAGUAGGUGUUUUUACUGCAGUACCUGGAAUUCUUCCAUCAACCUGGGUGGUUUCUGUGGUUCUCCUGGAUGGCUGAGA